rnacentral:rRNA from 1 species
GAUGAACGCUGGCGGCGUGCCUAAUACAUGCAAGUCGAGCAAACAGACGAGGAGCUUGCUCCUUUGACGUUAGCGGCGGACGGGUGAGUAACACGUGUAUAACCUACCUAUCUUUCUGGUAUAAUUUCGGGAAUCCGGCGCUAACACCGUAUAAUAUAUUGCACCGCAGGGGUCAAUAGUGAAAUUCGGCUUUUCUGUCUCUUAUAGAUGGAUCUACGCCGCAUUAGCUAGUUGGUAGGGUAACGGCCUACCAAGGCGACGAUGCGUAGCCGACCUGAGAGGGUGAUCGGCCACACUGGAACUGAGACACGGUCCAGACUCCUACGGGAGGCAGCAGUGGGGAAUGUUCGGCAAUGGGCGAAAGCUUGACGCAGCGAUGCCGCGUGGGUGAAGAAGGUCUUCGGGUCGUAAAGCUCUGUUGUUGGGGAAGAACAGCUGUGGAAGAAGAUAUGGCUGUCUUGACGGUACCGAAUGAAGAAGCACCGGCUAACUACGUG